rnacentral:lncRNA from 1 species
GCCCUUUUUCACAGCUUGAAAAUGAUUGUUAAAAACAACAACUGAAAAUCAAACAACUGAAAACAUGAGCCAAAUCUAUUAGCACUGAACUCCUCCAACAGCACUGAUGUCACAGGCCCCUGGAAGAAUCCACGUUGUUGACAUUACUCUGGUCAUUUAGUUGCCAUGUAGCCAAGCAAAGAGAUGGGGUUUGACCUUGUUGUCCAGGCUGGUUUCAAACUCCUGAGUUCGAGCAAUCUACCCACCCUUCAAAGUGUUGGGAUCACAGGUGACUCUUAGAAUCAUCUAGUCAAAAUGGAAUUGUGACUGUAAGUGCACUAAGAAAAGAUCCCUUUGGGAAGAAUGAACUUAUUUUGACAAAUAUGUUCAAUAUUUUUACAUAUUUAAAAUAUUGACUCUCACCCAGGAAA